UACGUAGGGACCGAGCGUUGUCCGGAUUCAUUGGGCGUAAAGAGCUCGUAGGCGGCUGCUCAAGUCGAAUGUGAAAACUCGAGGCUCAACCUCGAGCCUGCAUUCGAUACUGGGCGGCUAGAGUCUGGUAGGGGAGUCUGGAAUUCCUGGUGUAGCGGUGAAAUGCGCAGAUAUCAGGAGGAACACCGGUGGCGAAGGCGGGUCUCUGGGCCGAUACUGACGCUGAGGAGCGAAAGCGUGGGGAGCGAACAGG
rnacentral:rRNA from 1 species